GGCCUUUCCCAUAUACCAUAUUGUUGACGAUAGAACGCGUUUAUGUACAGAAUGGCCCACGAACCCAAUUUCCGAGCGGCACGCCUACCGGCCGAACAUCGGAGUGACCCGCCCGUGCGCAGCUUGAUCUGCCUACCACGCGUCGGCCUCGGUCAUCAUCUCACUGGCCUCGCCUUUCAUCUCUACCACCUGGAAAGCCGGCGUGGCCGACGGAGCAUAGACGACUGACUGUUCAGGGAACUGAAGCAGUGGACAGCUUGCUGUGAAAGAUGGGAGCAUUCUUCCUCUGGUCUGGACAAGCCCAUAUUAAGUGGGAGAUGUUCAAUAUCAACCCGAUGCGAGGCAGCAAAUGUGGAAAUGGACGCAAGUCAAGGACAGCUGCAGACAGCAAGAUAAUGAAACUGAUACAGCGAUUGCACUGAAUCACUGAAGAUAUGAGCCGGAAUGCGAACAGUAUACUCGUACAGUUUGGCAGAAUAAACCCCAUCUUUAUGCGUUCAGAGCAGCUGGAUGUUCACUGUUUACUUGGCAAGAAGUAGUAUGUAUGCAUGCUUCCUGCCACAGCUAUGUGCUGUCCCACACUUUCUGGGAAACACUGAAUUCUGCAUUUGCUGAGAAAUAUAUGUGCCAAAUAGUGCAUUUUGUUGCUUUCCAGUCACCAAUGCACAGAAGUUGACCCCACACUGUACUUAAAAAGUUGUAAUAAUGGGUGUUCUGUGGUGAAGAAAAUUAUGGUGCUUU